CUGAGUAAGCCUCUUGAGUUUCUUCCUAAAGAAGUUUUUCGGGAUCAAGAACUUCAAGUUCUAAAAGAAAAAGAAGAAAAGGGAAACGAAAAUUUAACCAGUUUUGGACAUAAAAUUGAAUCUUAUGAAGAUCGUUUGGGUUUCUUUGUGCCUUGCUUUAGAACGCCUAAAGCCACACUUACGGUAGAAAAGGAAACUACUCAAUUUUAUAUUCCCUCCUUUCCCUCCUUUUCGCUGUACAAUACUUCUUAUACUGGUGGAGCCCAUGAAGUGAUUGAAACCAAAAAACCUCAUGAAUUUUUAGAAGAUUAUUUAUGGCGCCAAAAAAUAGUUGUUGGGGACGUUGGCUCGCCUUGUGAUUGGCGUACGUCCAUCAUAAAUUUUGUUAAUGCUUUGGGGAAAAUUGAUCCAACUAUGACGAAAGAACGACUUGAAUCGAGAAUUAAUUAUAUAAACUCUAUAAAGCCUGCAUAUACCGCCGCGCCGGAGUUUUCAAGGAAGCAUUACAAGCAAAAACUUAACGCAAAAGCUAUAAACAAAUAUUUGGACGCUGUCGAGCAAGUUUAUAACAACUAUACAAACUUAUAAUAACAUUCCGUUUAUCUUCUACUGCUACUUAGAUAAAUUUAUGCAAAAAUAAAAAAUUAUGUUUA